UCCCAAGUAUUUCAGUCAGAAGCUUCUUAAACUCAUCUUCUUUAACCAACUUCCUGUCAUCCGCAUCUAACUUCUUGAAAGCUUCAUUUAUGAUUUUGUCGAUCUGCAGAGAUUAGCUAAAGCGUUUGGUAAGAUGAGCUUAAGACCGGAGAACCUCUAAUCAGCCUGAAAAGUACCCAGUUCGAGGUGAAACUGCACCAGGCUUGAGGACUGUUCCUUUUACACAUUAAGCCAAAUGCAGAUUCUAUAAAUAGGUCAGAAAGCUAAUCGAUUAACUUGUACAUAGCUAUUUCUUCAAUUAUCCCUUACUAUGAUUUCCCAAUUGGAACGGCAAGUCUCAUCUCAUAAUAAGUAGUAAAAAUGAGCUAACCUCGAAAGACUGAUUACCUGAUCAACAGCACCCAGUGGGCCUAAGCCAGAUGAUGGGACCAGAACAUCCAGAGCAACACGCAGAUUUGUUUUGACAAUUUUCCACUGCGAUCUCUUGGAAUCAAGGCUUGCCAUAUCGGCUGCAACAACUUGGCCGAGUCAUGACCGGAACGGGGCUAACAAUAUGAUACCGUUACCCGCAUCGCCUCUGAAACUAAGUCGGAUACAUAUCGCGGAGAACUCUGCGAUAUGCAAUAAUAUGAUACAGAAUCGUCGAAUAGUGGCGAGAACUUGGCGAUAUCUACUGUUAUGAAUCGGAAACAAGAGAAAGGAAAAUUUCAAGACACAAACCUAUAGCUAAAUACUAAAGCUUUCCCACCCCUGUGACAUGAAACAAAACAAAAUGAAAUGUCACGCAAAAGGACGUUCAUAGAGCUUCUGGAAAGUUUUUAUUCCUGCAACUUCAGCCGAUGAAUGCAUCACAUUUCACGUACAUAUCAAUCAAGGAAGUCCCGAAAUGUAUAUGAAAAUCUAAACCAGUUCCGGUGCUCAUCCGAUGAACGCACUUUCCCAGCCAAAACAUGAUAACUCUGCAUGCACAAGACUAAUAAAAGAAAACAAACAGUAUCCAAAGCAAAUUUGAUAGGUAUGUAAAAAGAAUAAAAAUAUGUUCUUACUAUAUUUGAUAGAAUUCAAAAGUUAUACAUAAUUCAUGAAUUUUAAUAUUUUCGUGACAUUUAUUAUUGUUGUUUUUUUAUUUUAGAAAAUUGAGAUCAAUCACCUAGGCAUUUCUGUUGAUCAAUGUAGGUGAAAAUGCUUAUUGAGAAUAUGGUGAAAAUGCUUGCUUCUUUAUGUCUUUAUAUUUUAUAACCUUAUUUGAUAGGUAUUUGUUUCUUUUGCUCUAUUGAAGUAAACACUGCUACUUUCUUUAUGUAUUGGGAUUCUCAUUGUGUUAUUUAAGAUAUGAUGGUUUUACUCUUAUAUUUAAUUUUUGAUGUCAUACAAAAUAGGAUUAGAAGACACACUUGAUGCUAAAAUCUUUUACUACUAAUGCUAUAGGUUUAUGGUAAUGGCAGCAUUACUUUAUUUAAAUAAUUAGUAACUAUAUAUGAUAAUGUAGAUAUUUAGUAAACUUAAUUUGAUAAUUGUGUUUGUUAUCCUAUUUUUUAUUUUUAGUAAUUUUUUUUAGAAUUUUUAAUGCUGCGACGAAUGUGAAACAAUCACGACCGCGAGGUGAUCAUGAUGGGCGACAGGGAACCAUGCUUGGAAUAGUUUGUAAGGAAGUAUCCAGAGCCUGUUGAGGAACAAAUUGGUGCACCUCAAUGUCCAAGCACAAUGUAUGAAAUCAUUUCAACACAUUCAAAAGACUUGCCAUAUAAUUUAUUUCUUCUUAGAUAAGUUGGACAAACUUGAGACGAAGAUGAUAAAGAUACCAAUAUUUGCACGGGCCCAUAGCUAAAUUAGAAUCCACUAGAAAAGAGUUAUCACUAAUAACGUGCACAGAAGACAGAAUAAGUUGGAUGCCACUGUUCUUAAUUUACCACCAGCAGAAAUUAUUGGUGUGUUUGGACAGGAAAUUAUUUGCCCAAAUAUAUUUAUUUACAUUAUUAUUACAAUUUUCAUUACACCUUUUUAUCUCACAUACAUCACAUCACAAAAAGUGCUGCAGUAAAAAUAUCUCAAUAUUAGUAUUAAUGUUACUUUACCAACCGUAUCCAGCUCAAAUUUGUUGGAUAGCAAUCUUCUUAUUCCGCUCCCAUCAAAUGUAUUCUCAGUAUGUGCAACAAUUACGGGCUGCUCUUUCAGAAGUUUUGCAACAGUCCCUGCGACAUUCUUGAACUCACCAAGAAUGUAGUCAAAUGAGACAGAAAACACCUAGAUGAGCCGCUAUAUCACCGAGGUACCGGAUUUUCUAUAAAUGCUGUCUAGAUAAGUCCAUCACUUGAUCUCAUGCUUUACGAAACUCUAAUUUUUCUACUGGGUACUCGACGGGCACUCGUUAGAAAGAUCCAUCGUUUAAAAUGAAAAAUAGCCCCUCUGUGACGAGUACCCGUUACAAACAGGCAAAGUAAAUUCCAUACUAUCAACGUAGAUUCCCUCUGUGACGAGACUUUCCACGAAGCAGCAGAAGACUAAAGUAUGGAGGAUGUCACCAGCAGAAGACUUUACAUAAUUCUAGUAUUAGAGUACGCUAUAUUCUUGGUGCUGUUACUUGUACCAGGUGAGAAGAAUUAGUCACUAGUUGAAACUGUCUCUUCUUUAAAUAUCGUUUGAAUUUUUAAGCUGUACACAGGAAGUAUGUAUGACAAGACUUUUUCACUCAAGCGUAUCUUGAAUCUUGGUUUUUUGUUUCACGGCUUCUGAAAUAUCCUAUAAUGAAAAGGAAUCCCCCUAAGAAUAUUUCUCGGAAUCAAAAGAUUAGAAGAAAAAAAUUGUAGAACGCUGGCAAACGAAUUUAGAAUCAGACAAGUUCGUUCUUUUCUGUCAAGAUUGGUAAUUACGUAGUUGCAUGAAUAAGCCAAAACCAUAUGCUGCCUCUAGCCAUUUCGCCUGUUCCCGAACUGGGAUCAAUCAGUUUUUGAGGUCGCUAAUUAAUCCUGAUUUUUACUUAGAAGUCAAAAAAAAUUACACGAGUUAAAUAAUGAAGUUUACGUGAAGGGUGAAAUGCAUCGAAAAAGAUUAGCAUUUUAAUAAUCGAAGGUAAGGUUGCAAAUGUAAGCCAGUCUUUUGAAAUUAAUCAAUUAUGACUCACUUACAGUCUCUCGUGAAUCAUGAUGAGUAAGAAAAAUCGUCGAAGAACCACAAUUUGAUUUCUAUAUCAUUGAGUUCAUAGCCAGGAAAUUCGUAAUUCAUCAAUUGCGCAGUUAUAUUCCCUCCUCCAGGAGAAUACGAAAAGAAAAAGAAGAAAAAUAUUUGUUCCCCUGCUAAUUUUUUAUACAACGGGGUAUCUUUCAGGCUUAAAAAAAAGGGUUAAUUACAUUCACCUCCCCUGAGGUUUGACCAUAUUACCAAUCAAUCCCUGUAAUCUGUCCAAAUAACAGUCUCACCCUUUGAAUGAUCAAACAUUUAACAAAAACCCCCUUAAUGCCGAAAAUGCCCUUUUUGAAGCCAUAUUGCAUUAAAAAAAGAACAUAUUUUUAUUUAUUAACCUUCAAGUAAUCCAAAAAAAUAGAAAAAAAUUUUUGCUUAUUAUUUUAUAAAAAUCAUAUCUUUACUUCCAUAAAUAGUUUUGAAUCAAUAAUUAUUUUAAAUCUUAAAAAUUAGAUAAAUUGAAAGAAAAAUAAAAAAGAAACAAUUAUUUUAAAUUCUCAAGUAUGGUUCGAAUUUGUGAUUCAAGGCAUGUUGCGGAGAGCACAAGACAUGUUUUCCUCAAUUUGAACCAUAUUUCAGGAAUUAAAAUAAUUUCUUCUUUUUUUAUUGUUCUUUCAAUUUAUCUAAUUUUUAAUAUUUAUUUUUAAGAUUUAAAAUAAUUAUUGAUUCAAAACUAUUUAUGGAAGCAAAGAUAUGGUUUUUAUAAAAUAAUAAGCAAAAACUUUUUCUAUUUUUUUGGAUUGCUUCAAGGUUAAUAAAAUAAAAAUAUGUUCUUGUUUUAAUGCAACAUGGUCUCAAUAAGGGCAUUUUCGGCAUUAAGGGAAUUUUUGUUAAAUGUUUGAUCAUUCAAAGGGUGAGACCGUUAUUUGGACAAAUUAUAGGGAUUGAUUGGUAAUAUGGUCAAACCUCAGGGGAAGUAAAUGUAAUUAACCCUUAAUUUUGUCAUGUUAGAGACAGCACUUGAUGUAAUUAAUAAUCUGCAACUCCAUUGACAUGAAAAUACAACGAAACUGAAAUUGAGGAAAAUCCCAAGACGUUGGUUAGGUACUUAGUUUUAAUUUUCUUACACUUUCCCCAUCUCAUUCGGGAUAAUUAAAGCCUGAAACACAUAUUUUGACUCACUCUUUCUUCGUAUUAUUAAAAUUUCAUAUUCACUUCUUCUUCCUCCUCGUCCUCUGCCUCUUCCUCUUCUUCUUCUUCUUUCUCUUCUCCUUCUCCUCUCUAUCUCUCUCUUUUUCUACUCCCUUCCCAAAACAGCAGCAUGUGUUAUAUAACUUGAACCAAAUAUACACUCAGUUGACAACUGCCACAAUUUCAUUCUGUACCUUCGAUUCAAGUCACAAAAGGAGAGUAUUCUUGACCUAAUGGCGUUAUGCAUGUUAGUGAUAAAUCUUGCCAAGUUACCCUAACAUCAUCCCCCUCUCUUCUAAUAAAAAGGUGAGGUCCUUGUAUCCUCAUGCGAAAUGUCCAAUAGUUAACAUUUCUUGACCGUGUAAUUAAACGUACUCUUCAUAUGCGUGGUUAAAUCGAACUGAUUUAUACUGGCGAAGUAAAAGUAGUGACAUCCUGCAUUAGCAAUAUUUACAAUAAAACUGUCACUAAUGUUUGAGACCUCAAUCGUCACGCACCUCUCCCCUAGGAAAAACUAGCAAGCACAAAGUACCAAAGAAGAAUAGAAGAUAGAAGAAAAGGCAAAAACUAUUAGCAUUCUACCAUUGCAUAUCAUCACAAGCUAUUUAAUUCUGACGAUCUGGGUCCACUUUUUCAGAUUAAUCAUCCCCAUUCAUACUUAUUUGCAGUUGGGAAGGAGACGGAUCUACAACAACAUAUUAAUUACAUAUCCUCUACUCAUCGCUACAGUUGUGGUCUGUCGAGUUGACACUUUUUUCACUUUUAUUAAGGAGUAGCUUUUAACUCAUUACUUAUUCUUUUUCAAUUGAGUUCUUAUUAACGAUAAAACUGAGUGAUAUUGGAGAUAAACACUAGCAUACCAAUACAUUUUUCUUUGAAAAAAGAAUGAAUCAAGUUAGUAAAUGCAACCAAGCUUGAGUACUAUUUCGCAGUGAUUGGCAAAAGAUUAACACUCAACUUCAAAUCUGUCCUAAUACUAUCUUUUUAAUUCUAGAUUUGGUCUCACGCUCCUUCUUUUCAGGUAUAUACACUCAUCCCUUGCCUCAGCCACCAAAAAGUAGGACCGAAUUUAUUGGAGGAGAAGGGCCACUGAAUCUGUGAUUUUAAACUCAGACCGGACUGGCCAGUCGAACUGGGAACCUGCCAAGUGUCCAGUUCAAGUUACUCUAAAAAAUUGGGUGUAUAAAAACUCGGUCAAACCUGGCAAAAAAUCAGGUUUGACCAGAAAAUUGGAUGAACCGAUUUGAUGUCAAGCUUUUUUUUUUUAAAAGCUCAAAGCAUUUCAAUAUUAUGUUUUGCCUCCUAGGUUGUUAAAAAUUAUUAGUAUAUCUCAAAUAUUUCAUACUUUAUAAAUGUUGUCCUAAAGUUUGGUGUUAUUUUUCAAUCAAAUCCAUAAUUUUAAUUCUAAACUUGUUAAUGUUCAUUUAAUAAUAUAAAUUGCUACUUGAUCAUUCUAAUUUCUUUGUAUUUUCUUAUUAUAUAUAUUUGAAACAUUAAAUGUAUAUGAAUAUACAUUUAUUAAUAUUAAAAUGCUCUUAAGUAUUUUACAUAUAAUAUUUUAAUUUUUAAAUAAUUUUUAUUUAUAACGUCAUCCAAUUCAACUACGAUCGACUCCAUUAACCCUUGACUCCUGACCCUUAAGUUUGACCGAGUCGAUGCCCGAUUCGAGUCUGAAAACAUAGCACUGAAUAAGUGCUUUCAGUGCCAUGGUUAUAAAUCCCGGCCCGGCUCAGCCACAGAUGGGGUUGGACUGCUAAUUAAAUCAAUUGUGUGACAACCCCACCUUCCCCUAAGGCGAACCAAAGGGGUUAGCGGACUGCCUGCCCAACUCUCGCCAGGAUUAACGGUUCAGUUUAAAGCGGUCUAACGUUCCGGAGCUUACAACCGCGCGUAAACAAGUCAAAAUGUCAAAUAAAAAAAAAAUGAAAUCGGAAACGGCCAUGAAUAGUAACCGACACGUCUGAACCCAACCAAACGUUGAGCAAAUAUUCACAUCUCGAAAUUAAUCAUAUACAACCCAAAGGGGCAUACAAAAGUUAGUCAAAAGUGAAUACAUGUACGGUUUGCCAAAUCAAAAGAGAAACGGACUCAAAAAUACAUUUAGGGUUUCAAUCCAUGAGCUAUACAAAAGAUAUGUCCAUCUAACUCAAUUCGGCAACCAACUAUCAAAUCCAAUCCAAAAAGGAUUUAUUUUCCUGUAAGGAAAACAAAAGGAACAGAAAGGGGUGAGUUUGCGCUCAAUGAGGUACCAGACAAAUAACAGUAAAAUCAUGGCAUUUUACAUUUAACAAAUCAGGUACACAUGCCAGAUGUAAGUAAAAGAACCAAUGAUUCAAAUAGGAAGGAUACAGAUGGCUCUCAUGAGCCAAAUUCCUAUUCGCGUCACCGAAGCUUGAUCAAAAUAAUAGUUGACACUCCGUUAACGCUAAAGGAGUAACCAAUACCGUAGACCCCACUUUCUCCAAUUCCUUCCACCUCACAUACCCCUACCGGCCCCGCAAACCAAUCAGAUCAGAAAUGGUAAUACUCAAGUAUACCCGGAAUCAAAGGUUUCACUACCCAAAGAUCUCAAAACAGACUACCGUGGUUCGUUAUCUAAUCGACUAGACCCUUGCCGGUCCGACUCGAGUAACUUGCCACAGGGGUUGAGCUCAGAGGUCACAGAAAGGUCGUUGGAUACAAGUUUCCAAACGACGUCCGAACAAAUACAGAUACAGAUACAGAUAUCAGAUACAGAUUCAGAUAUCAGAUACAGAUUCAGAUUCAGAUUCGCCCCAAAAUUGGCAUAUAAACAGACAAGAGAACGAGUGUGAUAAAGUACACUCUCGUCUCAAACAAAUUAAACAGAUGGUGCAGUCAUUUAAAUCACAGAUUGCAGGGCAGAAAUCAAGUUAAACAGCAAUGGAGGGGAGUGGUACACUCACCGGUGUCAGUACAGAUACCUCAAAAGUUUGGGCUUUAGUCACCAAGAAACCCUAAAAUAACCAAGGUAAAACAAUUAUGGUUCCCACUUUCACAAAUCCAGUACACGAAAUGCAUAACUAAGACUUAAUUAUAAGUCGUGUGUCGAUCACUUUAACUACCAGUGCAAAGAAAUAACAAUGAAAUUGGAGAAAAAGGUAGCGGUUGGUAUCAAAAACAUGAACAACCCUCAAACCCUUCGCUCAAAUCACAAGUAAAUCCAACUAGCCUUCAAGUAAAAAUUUUGGCAGCAAGUCCCUUGUGUUUACCUAUUUUCCAACCAUUAAUGGUUUCAUUAUUUCCUCAAAUCAGUUUCAAUAUCUCAUACAAAAAAUAAUCUCAUUUCCAAAAGCCGUUCACUAAGUUUAAAGUCAUUCAAGUACAAAAUUUAGCUAGGAAAAUAACUGGAAACGAAAGUCAAGCCCUAAAACUAUUCAAAUAACCACAAUAAGACUCGCUUACAAGUCAUAAACCAAUUCCAGAUACCACCAAAAUAGGGCUCCAUAAGCAUACAUAAGCAUUAGAGGAAACCAGAAAAAUCCGGAAAUGUAGUUAAGCGUUAACCCGAAAAAAAUAGUUUUUGACGUCAUUAUGCGGUUUUGGUACCAAUGGCACUACGAUUAUCGGAUGAAGGUGCGAGACCCACCGUUUCGAAACUAAGAGAUAGGGUUACAAUAUUGCAGAAGGUCACUCAGCUCAAUUUUGAGUGUAACCAGGUCAAAAAUACAAGAUACUACACCAGAACUGGAAAAACAGAUUCAUAAAACGCAUUCUGGUUCAAACAUCAUAAGUCAGCCUACCUAAGUCCAAAUCCAGUAAUUCCAAAGCCAUCCGAAAGCUAAGAAAUAGGGCUACAAUACAUCAGAAGACCGUAACAACCAAUUCCAAAGCAUUCUCAACCAAAAUAACCCAUUACAGAAGCAAUUCCCAAAUUCGGGUAAAACCAGGACAACAAGGGUAAUUUCGACUUUUCUCAAGCCACGCUACUCCGAUUGACCUAAAAUUUUGUAGGGACCCCUAAAAUGUCAUUUCCUACAACUUUCAUGUUUUAACCCAAAACCAAUUCGGCCUCUAACCAUGAGCUACAAAAUCGGGCAGAAUGUAUAACUUUGAAACCCUGUUUUUUCAAUUUUCUUCCAAAACAGAAAUUGCUUGCAAUUAACCACUUUUCCCACCUCCUAGUUUCAUUGCAUACCAAUUCCAAUCAUCAUACAUGCCCACAUAAUCAUAUUCAUAUGAAAACAGAAAAAUCCCCAAUAAUUACAAAAUUUCACCAAUUCAACCAAAAAUCAAGAUAUAAUCCAUAAAAGUGCAUCUUAUACUACCACCAAUCAUGAAUUAAGCAUUAUUAGAGGGAGGAAAGGGGUCCUUAACUACUCACAUUGGCAACACAAGAGAGAGAGCAACUAAUCCCUUUAGCCUUCCAAACAACUCCACAAAACACCUCACUAUCACUCCCUUAAGUGUUUCUAUGAAGCAAAAGCAAGAUUAAAUGGUUGAGUUCUUGGAUUUGAGCAAGAGUAGAGCUAAGAAUUUGGAGAGGUUUUCUUUCUUUCUUCCUUGGAGAGAGCCGACUUCAAGAGCUUGAAAUAAGGGUGAAUUUUGGUAAUUUUUGUUUUAUUGGUUUAGUUGGUCAAAUGGUAAAAGAAUGAAUAGUGGUCUUACAGCAAGAUUGAAUCAUAUGGUGACACUUGUCACCCUAAUUAAUGCAUCUCUAUCUCUUUGUUUCCUCUCUCACCAAUCCACUUGGGUAACCUCUAAUUAUCUCUUAGUACCUGAUAAUUUAAUUCCAGUAUCCAAAACUUAACCUAGUUGGCCGAAUUUUUCCGAACUUUUCGUCCUAGUGAGUCCCACAUCCGGUAUACACUCUUAAUUUCUCAAAAACUAUUCGAUACUAGAAAAAUCACUUAAAAACUCUAUUUACUCAUAAAAAUUAUCUAGAAAUUUUUCCUAAGCAAGAAAAUGCAGAAAACAUGCCAUUAAAGAUAAUAAAACCUAAAAAUUUGAAAAGUUACGGGUUCUCACAAGUUGAGUAACAAAUUCGUUGACCAAUCAAUGAUCCAAUAGUUCAAUUAAGAACUAAAAAAAAUCGCCGGUUAAACCACUAACUUAAACAUUUUACUAUUUUUAUAAUUUAAAAUAUAUUAUUAUAUUAUAUAAUAUAAUUAUUGUGCAACUGACGAUUGAACCAAUGAUUUGAUCACUCUUCAAAUUGAGAUUGGGAUUGGGUUUAAUGACUAUGUUCAGAUCUAUAUAUUUAUAUGGGAGACAUAUGAGUUUUCUCAUUCCGAUUCCUUUCAGCUUUCAAGAGUAGCGUUCUAGCUAAGCCAAAAGUAUGUGAACUAGCACUAGACAUUACUUUUCCGAAAGGUUUGGUAUGCUGAACUUGAACAUGCACCCUGACGAAUUACAACUAUAACAACAGUUAGCUCAUGAAAGUAUCAGCAAAGCAGAUUGAACCCAAUGGCGGUCAAGAUGAUCAAUCGUCAGUUGGUGCAAGAGCAAACAAACGGUAAAGGCGUGCCCCCUUAUUCUUAUGUGUGUUGAAAGUUGGAAUCAUUGCCCACUUGUGGCCAAAUUACUUCAUGUGUCAAAUAUUUGCAAUUAAGGAAUCAUAGACAACAGAAAGUUGGAAUACAUAUUAUUGUUGACUAUAGAAAUUCCAUACCUAUUGCUGGACCACUCAAUGGGUAUCUUGAUCCGAUUAUGCAAGACUUUUCUUGGAAUUAUAACAAGCACUGAAAAUUACAACUAAUACUCCUUAGUCAAGGAGCAUGCAUGCAGCAUACCUUUUCUGAAUUUUCUAUGCUCCCCACUUAAUGGUUACUGUAUUACUGAAAAGAUAAUGACGUACAACAAAUAUAAAUAUUAAUGAAGAACAUAGAGACGUAAUUAAACUGCACUAAAAAAAACUGCACUAAUGAAUCGUGGACAAAUAAAUUCUGAGCCACUCAAGCACGAGAAAUCAAAUUGUAGGGUUUGGAUUACCUGUCAUUUGUGAAUAAUGUGUGUUCCACGAUUCUGUGCUAGUACAAUUAUUUUUAACUAACAUCAAUGUUGAGUAUUGACAGCUUUGUUUUAAGCAAGUCCUCAUGGAUAACCUCUAUGCCACUAGACAGUGGACUUGGUUGCUAUAAAUAGCGCAACAAGCUCAAUUAUAAGUUACCAACUAGCAAAUGAAACAUAUAUGCUAGUAGCAAAUUUCUGAUAGCUGAUUGAGUAGAUGGCUGCAGAUGCUGGAAAUGUAUACGUUAACAUGGAAGAAGAAAGCCAAGCUGCUGGAAAUAGAAUGCAACCUAUGUCUACUACUCCCGUGUAAGUAUCUCUUAACUUCCACUACUACUACCACUUGCACUUAAUUAAUUUGUCUGGUCUCCAUGUUUAGUCUUUAUCAGCUUUAUUCAAAAACUUCCUGGCUGGCUUCUUGCACGAAUUUGCGUCAUAUUUUUUUGCAGACCAGCACAGUGGACUGCUGAUGAAAAGAAGCAAACAGCUUUCAGUCUGAGUGAAAGGCUAGGCUUGGACGAGUUUCUCUCCUUAAAUGUUAGUGAUGCUCUUUCAACGGACUGACCCGUUUUUCAGUUCAAGACUACAAGCUCUGUUCUGGUUCUUCACGAGAAUAAGGAUUGGAAUUGUAUGCUACGGAGGAAACAUAACUCAAAUGCUAUGGCAUACAAUUCCAGUUCUCUCAUAAAGAACCAAACACAAGACAAUAUUUCUUUUGCUGGUGUGAUCGAUCAAAUUUCACGUUGGGUUGAUAUAUAACUUGGUGCAGGUCUGGAGAGCAGCUCUAGGGGAACUUCUUGGCACAGCAGUUUUGGUCUUCAUGUUUGACACCAUUGUCAUAUCAACCCUCGAGACCGAUGUGAAAAUGCCAAACCUGAUUUUGUCAAUUCUCCUGGCCAUUAUCAUCGCAAUUCUUCUACUAGCCGUGGAUCCAGUAUCUGGAGGCCACAUAAACCCCAUCGUCUCAUUCUCUGCGGGAUUGAUCGGUCUAAUCUCAAUGUCGCGUGCCAUAAUCUAUAUCAUCGCUCAAUGUGCGGGCGGGGUGCUGGGAGCACUAGCACUGAAAGCGGUGGUUAGCAGUAACAUCGAAAGAACCUUCUCACUGGCAGGUUGCACCCUUACCGUAAUUGCACCAGGUCCCGAAGGGCCAGUCACAAAAGGCCUGGAGGCCGCCCAGGCGUUUUGGCUCGAGGCCUUUUGUAGCUUCGUGUUCUUGUUCGCUUCAAUCUGGAUUUUAUUCGACCAUCGUCAGAGAAACUCCAUUGGCAUGAUUCGUGUUUUCUCAAUCAUCGGAAUCGUGCUGGGUCUUCUGGUGUUUGUAUCGACGACGGUCACUGCCACUAAGGGUUAUGCGGGGGCGGGGAUGAACCCUGCUAGGUGUUUUGGUGCAGCAGUUGUUAGAGGAGGCCACCUGUGGGAAGGGCACUGGAUAUUCUGGGCAGGGCCUGCCGUGGCUUGUCUUGCGUUCUACGUUUACACGCUAAUCAUUCCUGAUGAUCAUUUUCAUGUAGAAGGGUACAAACAUGAUUUCUUUGGCAUCCUAAGGACUAUUAGCGGACUGGAACGUUAAACAUGGGAGCAAUUUACAAGGAUAGAUUUGUUGCCUAUCUAAUAAGGGGAUGGCGAUGUAUGAUAGUGUCAUAUGUAAUAUAUAAUAUAAGUGGACUUUCUUUUUUUGAUCGGAGAAUUUCUUCUAUGGAGUAUACGCUUGCAUGGUAUCUGCUUCCUGUCGUGUCGGGUGUAAACUGAUGUUGUUUCCAGGAGAACAGGUUAUAAAUAUCAACUAUUGAGGUUUGGAUGUAAAGGGUUCCAUGCCAUGUCCCAAAUAAAAAGAUAUUUUGCCUGCCGAAAUUGUUGAUCAUCAAGUUCAAAAUUUUUAGUUGCAUAUCUAAUGUCUAAAUUUCUUCCUGUUGCUAACGAUCGCCCUUGCAUUUUUCCUUUUAACUUUUCGUCUUUUGGUUUUGGGUUGAGAAGAAAUCAGUAAGGUUCCAAGGCCCACAAGAAUAGAAUAUCACGAAUCUUCAACAUGGAAAUGAGAAUAUACCUUACAAUUGUUAAAAGCCGCCGACCCACUCGUUCAUCAGCACUUUCAAGCUGGAAAAAUCGUUCCAGACUUGCUCUUAUCAUAUUUUGUCAAAUGAAUUUUUUCUUCACUUAAAUAGUAAAUUUACGUCCCUUGCAAAAUCAAGUUGAUAAAUUUUGAUUUUUACCUUAAAUUCAUCGCAUGACCUAUAUGCAGUUUUUUUAAUGACAAAAAUAUUAGAUUCCAUUUGUAGUUAAAUAUAUGAUCUAAUCUAUAUUCACUUCUAUCUCUAAAAAGCAGGAUCUGACCUGAGUCAAAUUUAUUUUUUCUCCUAAAAAGUGGGAGAUAACCUAAUCUAUGUUCAUUUUUGCCACAUAUUUUUGUAUACUAAAAAUAACUGCACCUUUUUGUGUACUAAAAAUAAAUGCAUGUGGGUCAUGUUGUAAUUUCAGAUUAAAAAGUGAUCGAAAACUUAGAGAUUGUGGCCGAAUUUUAUUAAUUUAAAUUUUUAUAAAAUUAACAUGCAUUUUAAAGCGAUGAAUGAAAAAAAUUCAUUUAAUGAAAUGAUAGGGAUGUUUUCACAAUUUUCCCUUUAAGUGGCCUUUUUGUGGGCAAGUCAAUUUGGAAAUUUAUAAAUUCAACAAUCACAUCAUGAGUUUAUCAAUUUGGAAAAUCAGGAAUUCAACAAUUGUAAGUUUAUUUUAUUGGAAAUUGAGAAAUUCAACACGUAUGGUAUGAGUUUAUCUUCUCGAAAAUUCAGAAAUUUAACAUGUAUGGAUUUUUCACUAAAUGUGUUAAAACCCAAAUCAUUUAACUGUAACAUUAACCAAGUAACUUUGAAAGUCCUGAUUUAACGUUCAACUCUUCUUCGACUUUUCUCCCGCCCCACCACCGGCCCCCCAUUUCCCUGCUCCUUCUUCCCCAAGGUUUAGAAUCUCCAUCAGGAAACAAAAAGCUCGAAACAACAGGGACCACUAACCAAGGUUCGUCGCAGUUGACGUCUGGCUCACCAUCACCGUAACUGCACCUGGCCCACAGGGACCACUUACCAUGACUCUUGAAAAGAGCCAGGACCUCCGGCUCGGGCCGGAAACAUUUUGAGGUCCGGAAUCGUCACAAAUUCCUUGUCGGUUGUUUCGUGUUUAGGUUGCAUAUAAACGUCAUCUAAGGAAAUCCCCAAAGCCUUUUCUUUUUUUUUUUUUUUUAAUUCAAAAGGUCAUCAUUUUAUGUAUUGAGUAAUAAGUUUCAAAAAUAUUCACUUAUUGGUGGCAAAUGUCAAAGAAUCACUUUGAACUUCUUUCACAAGCCACACAGGAAAGCACGACUUUCACCUGGUAACAUCAAUAAGGUUAAUGGCAAAUUUCGUCAAACCAUGACCAGUGCGAUUGAUUGCGUUCCCUCGCAAUAAAUAAAUAUGAAGAUACAUCGCCAAAAGCACUUACUCGGGCGUAGAAUAUCAUCUACCAAGACAUCUAACCGAGAGAUUUCUUUGUAUCCCAUAUUAUUGAUUCUGUCCAGUGCUCUUCCAAUGCCUUCAUCGGUGGUGCGGUCCUUAAUGCCCCUGCUUUUAGGAUAGCAACUUCUUUUUUGCGCCUUGUUGGAAUAGCCCACGAAGUGACAAGGCUACCAUUCUCAUCUUUGACCGCAAUACCUACUCCCCUUCUGUCCCUGGUCCAAUCCAUGGCUGCAUCAGCGAAAAUGAAGGUGGCAUGUUGGUUCCGGAAUUCUUUUGACUCUUGCAUUCAUUGCUACCAGUCGCUGCUCCUUGCUUUCCUUGCAUCCCCAAAGUCAAGACAUUAAUUGGUUUCUCGAUUAUUCAGUUGUGCUAAUGGCUAUGCGCCCUUGUACUUUUAUCGGGUAUUUGGAUUAUACACUCAUCCUUAAUUACAAUAAAUCAAACGGUGAUAAUGUAUGCACUGUAUAUAAGAUUUAUUCUAAUUUUGUUAUCAAAGGGAGAGAGAGAGAGAAGAAAAAAAAAAGAUGUGAUCAUCUUAAUUAUUUUGGACAACUAAGCUUUGUUUGUCCUAACAGGGUAGAAAUAUUAAGACAAUUUUAUCACAAGCUGUUUUAAUUUUUGAGAUCGAUUUGUUGAUAUUCAAAACAUAUAUGAACAGACUAUUUCAAAGAAAAAAAGAAGGUAAAUAUUUUAUGUAUUGACAGUAUACAUAUUAGCGGGUCUAAAUGUAUGUUACAUUUUUUAAAUUUAUAUUUAAAUUUAAAUUUAGAUGAUGUGCUAUUUAUUAUUCUGUCAACGUAUUGACAGUGUAGAAAAGAUUAAUUUUAAAAAAAAAAAAAGGCAUGAAUAGAUGAUCAAUGGUCAGGAUUGUCUCACUGUUCUACCAAGUCCGACCAAGUACACGGGUACAUUUACUGGAUUUCCUGUGGUUUCAGGCGCCCAUCCAUCCAACCCACCGUCCACAGACGGAUCUUUUGGACUGUUUAAACAUCAGGAGUUUUGACAACUAGACGGGCCUGCGAAAAAUUUGUUCAUUCAUAUAAAUUGAUCAUAUUUUACACAUCCCCUUAUAAUCACAUCUCAAAAAAUUUUUUUUUUUUUUUUGAAAAUAUGGCAUGACUGAGUGAUCAAAAAAAAUAAUACCCAACCAUGGUUCCUGAAGUUGACCUAACUCACUUUGUAUAUAAACAAAUACCGAACCCUCUUAUGAUCCGAACAAAAAAUACGACCAUCCUAAUAUUCAGAACGGAGAGCCAGCGGAUGCAUUGAUUUUCUUGCCCUACCCCUGGUAAAUAGGAGUACGGUGUAAUAUUGGUUUAAUUUAAUAUUGGUACGAAUUCCAAGCACAGCGGAACAAUUAUCUCUUAACAUACACACACAGACAAAAACAAAAGAAAAAAAAAAAGGAUUAAAAUGAAAUGCUCUUCAGAUUUUCUAAACUCUUUCUUAUUGGAUAAUCAAUCAGUAUCGCAAUAUUUCUUCUCAUCACAAUCAAAUACUUUCAAUUCUGGUCACAGGGUCGGACUAGAACGUCAAAUCUGUGAGAGGAAGAUUGUCAUAUCGUAGCAGGCCUGGAAACACGGAUUUGUUUCAGCAGUGUAAAUUUGCACCUCAUCCAUAUUCUGUAUCCAGAACGAAAUCAUGUACGCAGCCAGCAUAAAAGUCAUCUGUGUUCUAGUGUAUAUGCACUCCAACAGCACCACCAAGAGAACUGGAUAUCAGUAGUAACUUUCUUGCCAGUAUUGUUUUAUAGUCGUCAAAAUUUACAAGACCUAUUAUUCCUGCUUUCUUCAUAAUUCUGCAUUACGAAGGAGGAGCAUCCAAAAGCGUGGAGGAGGAGGCAAAUGGCUCAUGCACGACAGAGUUUGUGGAAACAGAUAUUGGAUUGCCCUCCAGUUGCAGCAUGAUACUCCCAAGUAUUUCAGUCAGAAGCUUCUUAAACUCAUCUUCUUUAACCAACUUCCCCUCAUCCGCAUCUAACAUCUUGAAAGCUUCAUUUAUGAUUUUGUCGAUCUGCAGAGAUCAGAUAAAGCGUUUGGUAAGAUGAGCUUAAGACCGGAGAUCCUCUAAUCAGCCUGAGAAGUACCCAGGUUCGAGCUGAAACUGCACCAAGCUUGAAGACUGUUCCUUUUGCACAUUAAGCCAAAUACAGAUUCUAUAAAUAGGUCAAAAAGCUAAUCGAUUAACUUGUACAUAGCUAUUUCUUCAACUAUCCCUUACUCUGAAUUCCCAAUUGGAAAGGCAAAUCUCAUGUCAUAAUUACUAGUAAAAAUGACCUAACCUCGAAAGACUGAUUACCUCAUCAACACCACCCACUGGAGGUAAGCCAGAUGAUGGGGCCAGAAUAUCAAGAGCAACACGCAGAUAUUGUU
rnacentral:lncRNA from 1 species